rnacentral:rRNA from 1 species
CGUGAGUGAUGAAGGUUUUCGGACCGUAAAACUCUGUUGUAAGGGAAGAACAAGUACGUUAGGAAAUGAACGUACCUUGACGGUACCUUAUUAGAAAGCCACGGCUAACUACGUGCCAGCAGCCGCGGUAAUACGUAGGUGGCAAGCGUUGUCCGGAUUUAUUGGGCGUAAAGCGCGCGCAGGUGGUUUCUUAAGUCUGAUGUGAAAGCCCACGGCUCAACCGUGGAGGGUCAUUGGAAACUGGGGAACUUGAGUGCAGAAGAGGAUAGUGGAAUUCCAAGUGUAGCGGUGAAAUGCGUAGAGAUUUGGAGGAACACCAGUGGCGAAGGCGACUGUCUGGUCUGUAACUGACACUGAGGCGCGAAAGCGUGGGGAGCAAACAGGAUUAGAUACCCUGGUAGUCCACGCCGUAAACGAUGAGUGCUAAGUGUUAGGGGGUUUCCGCCCCUUAGUGCCGCAGCUAACGCAUUAAGCACUCCGCCUGGGGAGUACGACCGCAAGGUUGAAACUCAAAGGAAUUGACGG